UCUAACAGACCUUAUUGUUAGUAAAGCCUGCUCAAUGAUUAAUAAAUAGCCGCAGAACCCUGUGCUAAGGUAGCAUAAUAACUUGCCUUAUAAUUAAAGGCUAGCAUGAAAGGUAUCACAUAUUGAUAACUUUAUUUAUUUAAUUAUUUAAAAUUAACCUUUUAGUAAAAAGGCUAAAAUAUAUAAAGAGGACGACAAGACCCUGACAAACUUCACAUUCAUGUUAUGCUGGGGGGGCAAAAAAACAUCAUCUUUUUCAACUUAAAAAACAGGAAAAUUCUAUCUUUUAUACAAGUUACUGCAGGGAUAACAGCAUAAUUUUUUCCCGGAGACCUUAUCUAAGAAAAAUUUUGUGACCUCGAUGUUGAAUUAGAUAUCUAUAAAGAGCAAAAUCCUUAUAAGUAAGUCUGUUCGACUUUUAAUAAUCUACAUGAUUUGAGUUCAGACCGGCGCGAGCCAGGUCGGUUUCUAUCCCUUUAUCUUAAUUCUUAGUACGAAAGGACCAGAAUUAUUAUUAUUUAUAUU
rnacentral:rRNA from 1 species